AGUACGAAAAGAUUUUCAUUGUUUGUAAAAAAUUGGGUUAGCUCUUUGAGAUCAGAACCAAGAGCUUUAUGAUUUAGGGGGAAUUUUUUCACCCACUACAAAGAGUACAGCAUAAAAUAUAGUAUGCCAGAGGAUGUCCCUUUGGUAUUUUUCCUAUGAACUCUUUGUUUGUUUGUUUGUUUGUUUGUUUGUUUGUUUUGUCUUCUUGCCACACCUGAGGCAUGUGGAAUUAGUUCCCAGGCCAGGGAUCUAACCCAGGUGACAGCAGCGACCCAAGCUGCUGCAGUGGCAAUGCCAUAUCUUUAACCCACUGCCCCACAGGAAAACUCCUUUAUGAACUUCUUAAUGUAAGAGCAUGAGGAGAUUAAUUUUGUUGGACUUCUUGAAGAGGCUGAAAGGUAAGCGGAGUGGAGGCUGGGAAGAGAAAGAUGCCUUUGGCAAGGUGAUAGAGAGCUGAUAAGGAUGUGAAGAGGGGCAUUUAUUUAGCACUUGUUGAACUCACGAAUAUCACAAGUACUUGCCGUAUCUCACACAAUUACUGUGAAAAAACCUAUCAAGAAAGUUCAGUUAUCUUCCUUUUACAAAUGAGAAAGUAGAUGUGGUUAAGGAAAUUUUCCAAGUGCGCAGUUACUAAUUGACAGAACUAGGACUCAAACCCACAUUUAACUCAUUUCAGAGCCAUGCUUCUAGCCACUGUGCAUACUACUUACUGACCAUCAGGUUACAAGUGUUAGUUUUUUUUAAAAAACAGUAUUUUUGAGGUAUGUUAUCUAUUAUUUUAAUGUUGGAGAAAGAGAGUCUAGUUGCUGUUAAAGCGUAUGGUAAACCUGGAGUUCCCUUGUGGCACAAUGGUUUGACAAUCCUGUGUUGUCUCUGCAGUGACUCUGGUGGCUGCUGUGGCUUCAGGUUGGAUCCCCGGCUGGGACAUUUCCACAUUCUGUGGGCACAGCCAAAAAAAAAAAAAAAAAGUGUGGCAAAAUCAUAGAAUAGAUAAUGAUGUACAAAAAUUUUAAAAUACUUGUGUUGGCAUAAAAAAUAAAAAUAGCCGAGAUCAGUGGAAGAUAAAGAAUUCUUUGACUCAGAGGUCAAUUAUUUCAGGGAUUUAAAAAUGUGAUUGGAAAAAAUACACUUUCGGAGGAGUUUCCUGGUGUCUGAGGGGUUAAAAAUCUGGCGUUGUCACUGCUGUGGCCUUGGGUCACUGCUAUGUCAGGCGUUUGAUCCCUGGCCCGGGAACUUCCAUGUGUCACAGACGAGGCCCCAAAACAAAACAAAAGUUGGAGUAUGGGAAGUUAUAUCGAAUAAGGGACAGAUAAUGUAGUAUUUAGAAAAAAGAAGUGGAACUAUUUUGAAGUUAGAGUUCAGGGUAAAAAGACAAAUACUGGCGAGGAAGAGUGAAUGUAGCAUGGGUGAGCUGAGAUGGCAGAUCAGGGGUUCAGGACCUUGUUAGAGCUGGGGCAAUAGAAAUAAUGUAGAAACUGGAAAUGGGGGUGGAUAUAAAGAUGUGACCCACGUUGUUAAAGCAAGGGAUAAGAGCUGACUAAAGGAAGAACUUGAGUCCCCCAGGAAAGACUUAGAAGUGCUAGAAAGAGGAAGAGGUUUAUGGAAAAUACUGUGCAGUGAUUUUUUUUUUUUUUUUUUUUUUUUUUUUUUUUGUCUUUUUUUGUCUUUUUGUCUUUUGUUGUUGUUGUUGUUGCUAUUUCUUGGGCCGCUCCCGCGGCAUAUGGAGGUUCCCAGGCUAGGGGUCUAAUCGGAACUGUAGCCCCCAGCCUACCCCAGAGCCACAGCAACGCAGGAUCCGAGCCGCAUCUGCAACCUACACCACAGCUCACGGCAACGCCGGAUCGUUAACCCACUGAGCAAGGGCAGGGACCGAACCCGCAACCUCAUGGUUCCUAGUCGGAUUCGUUAACCACUGCGCCACGACGGGAACUCCUGUGCAGUGAUUUUAAGCUCAGCCUGACCUCUGUAGUAGAAGCAACAUUCUUGAGCAGUGAAUUAAACAGACAGAACGAUGUUAAGAUGUACCAUGGAUUUGUAUCCAUAUGCACUUAGUCUUGAAGAAUUGUGAGAAAAGCAUCAUUGACUGUGGAGCUUAAGGAUUUGAGUCCAGUGCUGGAUAGGCUAUUUCCUGUUAAGCUGUGUGACAUUGUGCAAGUUAUUUGCAGCCUCUGAACCUCGGUUUCCUCAUCCAUAAGAUGAGGUGUUGUUUACAUUAAAUGUGGUAAGGUGUGUGAAAGAACUGAACACAUGGUGAUACCGAAUUGUUUCCCAUAAUGCUCCUCUUAAAAGAUUUUAAAUGAAAGAAUGAAUGAUUUCAUAAAUUAAAAGAUCCAAAAAGGAUAAAAAUUAUACAGUAAAAAACAAUUCUCUAUCCACCUGUAACACUUGGGCCUGUACCCUAGAAGCAUUCCCCAUCAAUAGACUCCUGUAGCCUUCCAAAUAGUAUAUGUAAGAUCUCCAUGUUUACUUUGUAUAUCAUUUGGGAUAUUCUACAUGUUAUUUUUUUCACUUAAUAGUAUACUCUGGAGAUCAUUUUAUAAUAGCACAUGUGAACAAACUUCAUUAUUAUGAGUUUGAAAGUAUCACUUUAGCCAAUCCCCUCUUUUUUAAAAUUAAAAUGUAUAGUUGAUUUACAAUGUUGUGCCCGUUUCUGCUGCAACCAGUCCCCUCUUGAUGGGCACUUAGGUUACAUCUAGGUCUUAGUUUAUUAUCAACCAUUGGGCAUUCUGACAAACAUUGCAAUUUAACAAACAAUACUUCCUGUGUAUAAAGCCCAGUUUUAAGCAUCAUUAGAUAAAUUAGAAUUUUUUUUGCCAUCAAGGAACUCAUAACCUAGGAAGUGCAGUUGGCUGACAGUUCCUGACCUGUACACAACAGUCUAAGCAACAUGACUCAGAAAUGCUUUUUCCUGUCUCCACACUGCCACUUCCACUUAAAAAUCCCUAGUGUGUCUUUCUCUUAGAGGUAUAGAAACAGCCCUAUUUUGGGUGCCUUUCUAUCUCUUGACUCCUCUUUAGUUUUGGUUCUAUCAGAGAGGCAAACCAUUACCUCUACCCAUUGUAGGUUUUCCGCUGGGACCCUAACGAAAAGAUGGAUGAACAAGAGAAAAAGCACUUUAUUUAUGUGUCCAGCCCACAUUGUGGGGAGAAACCUAAACCAAAAGUCAUUCAAAAGGGUGGCUCAGAAUUCCAGCUUCUAGAGCAUCUUCAACCAAGAACAAGAAAUGUGUAGAGUCCUGUACACAGGCCAAAGGAAAGCAGGUUUAGGCUUCCAAGGGUGCAGACUGUGGAAAGGUAAAUAUCAGGAGGAAACGAGUGGAGUGAGAUUUGUUUGCUGAUUCCUCUGGUGCCGUUUCUGGGCUGAUAAAAUGUCUCCUUUCCUCCUGGUACAGAGAGGGCACCUUUGAACAUGGAAGUUUCAGAAAGGGAAAGGAGAGUGUCUUUCUUGUACCUGCUAUUUCCUAAGUACCUUUAAUUUAAAAAAAAAUCAGUAUGCCAGAAGUUCUGUGAUGGCUCAGUGGUUUAAAGAUCUGAUGUUGUCAUUGCUAUGGCUCAGGUCACUGCUGUGGCACGGGUUCAGUCCCUGGCCCAGGAACUCCUGCAUGCCACAGGUGUGGCCAAAAGAAAAAUCAGUAUGCCAAAGUGACAUGUUCCAGGGUGACACGUUCUGGUUUCCUUUAGUACCAAAGCAUUUGCACACCAGUGAACAGAUUAUGGAGGAUCUGUGAGCUUCACCAGCCUUGUCAUUAUAGAUCAAUAAGAGAAAAAAAAUGGAAAUAAAAAUACCAUUGCAAUAUUCAGUAAGCAUAUGAAUUGAAGGUACAGCUAUGAUUGAAAACAUUGUCACUAUAUACCAAAUGCAGAUAGAUAUAAUAAAAUAUAUCAAAUACAAUAAAAUAAUAAUUCCUAAUAGGUUAUUAAUAAUACUUCACAUUUACACAAUAAUUUAUUUUAAAAACUAUUUUAAUAGUGUUAUCUAAUUCACUUGGAUGAUUGGAUAAAUAAAAAGGCUCUUGGAAAUGCUUUGGAGGCAAAACUUUGUCAAUGAAAUUCUGAUGAACUAAAGUUAAAAUAGAUUUUAAGAUUUUAGAAUCAUAGGAUUUUAGUGCUUGAGGGAUAGUUUGAUUAACUGAUUCUAAAAGUGCUAUGAAUCUUGAAUUCAUUUGAUCAUCUGAUAAAAGCUACAUUUCCUCUCCUUAGAAAGAUAAAAUUCAUGCUGUAAUGCUGGAAGGUCCAUAGAUGUCUGGAAGCAAAUCCAUGGCUCACAGAGCAAUGUUUUGUUUUAUUUUUAAAUAAGUUUGUUGAGAUAUAAUUUAAGUACUAUAAAAUUCCAUUUUCAGCUUACAAUUUAAUUAAUUUUAGAAUACAGAGUUGAACUCCACAAACUAAUUUUAGAACCUUCAUCACCCUAAAAAGAAACCUUCAGUCCCUUUAUAGCCCCUCCCCAUUCCUACCCUCAGCCCUAGACAACCAGUAAUCUAAUUUCUGUCCCUCUGUUACUUGUAGGGCAAAGUUUAAAUUUUUUUUUUUUUACUUCUGUCCACAAUAAAAAAUGUGUUUGACAUCCAACUUAUAGAUGCACGCAGAGACACAAGUUUCAUAAACAGUAUUCUUAUUCUGUUCAAUGUACUCUGAUAUAUUCCAGACCCACUAGUAAGUUCUGACCCUCAGCUUGAAAAGCUUUGUCCUAGAUGGGCUACCGUACGUAAAAGUAAAACCAAACUAAAUCUUGAAGCAUAUAGUCUCCUUAUUUAAGAGCUGAAGAAACAGGCCCAGAAAUGUGACUUUCCCAAGGGAAAAGUUAGGAUUCGAAUUCAGGAUUACUUGUUCGACUUGCAGCUUCCAUAGUGUAAGAACAGAACAUUGCUAAAUGGUCAGAGGAAGAGUUGUUUAAUGCAUUAUAGUUUGCAGCAGGAGGAAAGAAACUUGAUUCUUCCUGGGGGAUGGGGAAGCGAGGAUGGCGGAACGGUUGUGAGGUUGCCCUGGACCAUUAGAGGAAAGCACGUCUGUUGCAAGGUGACAAAAAACGUGCCCUGGAGGCCACAGCCUGGGACUAAUUGCCCUGCAUCUGUUCAGGUUAUUAGAGUUGAAGCCAAGCAGCCUUUUCCACCGAGUUGUCUCCUGUGGCCCUGUUGCCCAGGAGUCUCUGGCAUGAGCGAGGAUGUUUGUAAUCUUUAGCCAUGACUCUGCAGCCCAAGCAGAAGCUCCUUCAUUUGCUUUCUGCAGUGCCUAUGGCCUUUCACCCCAUCUGCAUUCAGAACGCAUGCCUACAACUGCAUCCUCAUUCCUGUUUACUUUGCUACAAGUAAAAAUGUUAGCUCUCCAUAAACUGCUGAAUACUCAGUGAUGAUUGUGAAACUAUUGCCUGUGGUUCAUAUUUUGGGUAAUAAGAGCAAACUGGAGGGUGAUGGUAAGUGUCCAUGUAAGAAUUCAGAUGUUCAGCAAUUAAUCACUCAAAUAAUCGAUGGUAACUGUGAGGAGGGUUUUGAAGGAAAGGUACAGGUCCCCCCUGAGAUGUUAUAACUGGGGUCACUUGGCAAAGCCUGAUGAAGGAUAGAAUCCAACCUUUUUUAUUUAUUUAUUCAUUUAUUUAUUAUUUAUUUAUUUAUUUCUGCUUUUUAGGGCCGUACCUGCAACAUAUGGAGGUUCUCAGGCUAGGGGUCACUACAGCUGCCAGCCUACACUACAGCCACAGCAAUACAGGAUCCAAGCCGCACCUGCGACCUACACCACAGCUCAUGGCAGCGCCGGAUCCUCAACCCACUGAGCAAAGCCAGGGAUCUAACCUGUGUCCUCAUGGACGGUCGGGUUCAUUAACAGCUGAGCCACAAUGGGAACUCCAGAAUCCAAACUUUUCUCAUUCUGUUUACAUGAUGGGAAAGCAGAGUGUUUUCCAUUUCUAAAGGGACCCUAGACACUCAAUCCUGAGCUUGAAAUAUGGCUGAGUAGAUAAACGAAGUACAGUGGGUAAUUUCCAGAGCAGUUAUCAGCUUCUUUGGCAGGAAGAUGUAUGAUUAAACAUUGCAUCCAUCAAAUCAGCUAUGGAGAGGAGUCAUAGAGAAGGAGGAUUCCAUUUCAGAUCCCAAUCCAAGAACUUCUUAGAACUCUGUAGCUCCUACGAAGGGAGCUCAGGGUAAAUUAGAGAAUGUGUUGUUUAUGUUCUUGUCGGAGGCAAGAACCAGGUACACAGGAACUAAGUGCAGUCUGGCCUGGGCAGAGUGUGAAGGAACUUGGGGAAUGAGACAUAUAUCGGAUGCAAAGUUCUUAGAGAGAACUGAGAAAACCAGCCAGCACACGAUUCCAGUAAGAUGGGAGAGAGUUGAAAUCUGAGACAAGAGAGUGAAAAGAGGAGGAAUGUGACAAGAAGAAGAGAAUACAAAAAUCUGCCUCAAGAAAAGGUAAGCACAAUAAAUGUGAGCCUCUUUAUAUCAGGAAGUAUAUGACAGUCUGCAGCAUCUGGAGAAGUAGCAUGCACACUCCUGAGAAUAACGGUGACGCAGUCCCUUGCUCUGGGAAAAGAGAGCAGAAGAAUGAACGAGAGAGAAAAAAAGAAAAGAAUAGGGGACAAAGAAUGCAAUGCCAACCUGGGAAGAAUUGUAAUUAACACAGGAGGGCCUUAACUGUUAGGUGAAAAUUGACCUUUUGAGUGAGAAAAUGGAUAUUGUGAUUCUUUAUGUGGCUGUGUGCAGAUGUGAUGUGACUUGUCUUUCUCCAGUACAACAGCUGGUACGGAAGUUCUAAAAAGGCUUAUAGAGCCCAUUUACUGGAAAAGGAAUGGGUUUGGAGGCAUAUUUGGUCAAGAAGCUUCUAGAGGCGUUGCCAUCAUGGCUCAGUAGUGAUGAAUUCGACUAGUAUCCAUGAGGAUGCAGGUUCAAUCCAUGGCCCUCUCAGCCUAGCCUGGGAACUUCCAGGUGCCGCAGAUGCAGCCCUAAAAAGACAAAAAAAAAAAAA
rnacentral:lncRNA from 1 species